rnacentral:rRNA from 1 species
UACGUAGGGUGCGAGCGUUGUCCGGAAUUAUUGGGCGUAAAGGGCUCGUAGGCGGUCUGUUACGUCAGGAGUGAAAACUCGGGGCUCAACCCCGAGCCUGCUUCUGAUACGGGCAGACUGGAGGUAUGCAGGGGAGAACGGAAUUCCUGGUGUAGCGGUGAAAUGCGCAGAUAUCGGGAGGAACACCAGUAGCGAAGGCGGCACUCUGGGCCGUGACUGACGCUGAGGAGCGAAAGCGUGGGGAGCGAACAGG